UACGAAGGGGGCUAGCGUUGCUCGGAAUCACUGGGCGUAAAGGGUGCGUAGGCGGGUUUUUAAGUCAGGGGUGAAAUCCUGGAGCUCAACUCCAGAACUGCCUUUGAUACUGAAGAUCUUUGAGUCCGGGAGAGGUGAGUGGAACUGCGAGUGUAGAGGUGAAAUUCGUAGAUAUUCGCAAGAACACCAGUGGCGAAGGCGGCUCACUGGCCCGGGUACUGACGCUGAGGCACGAAAGCGUGGGGGAGCAAACAGGG
rnacentral:rRNA from 1 species